CACGUAGGGUGCGAGCGUUGUCCGGAAUUAUUGGGCGUAAAGAGCUCGUAGGCGGUGUGUCGCGUCGGCCGUGAAAACCUGCAGCUUAACUGUGGGCGUGCGGUCGAUACGGGCAUCACUGGAGUUCGGCAGGGGAGAGCUGGAAUUCCUGGUGUAGCGGUGAAAUGCGCAGAUAUCAGGAGGAACACCGGUGGCGAAGGCGGGUCUCUGGGCCGAUACUGACGCUGAGGAGCGAAAGCGUGGGGAGCAAACAGG
rnacentral:rRNA from 1 species